rnacentral:rRNA from 1 species
AGCGAACGCUGGCGGCAGGCCUAACACAUGCAAGUCGAACGGAUCCUUCGGGAUUAGUGGCGGACGGGUGAGUAACACGUGGGAACGUGCCCUUUGGUUCUGAACAACUCAGGGAAACUUGAGCUAAUACCGGAUGUGCCCUUCGGGGGAAAGAUUUAUCGCCAUUGGAGCGGCCCGCGUCUGAUUAGCUAGUUGGUGAGGUAACGGCCCACCAAGGCGACGAUCAGUAGCUGGUCUGAGAGGAUGAUCAGCCACACUGGGACUGAGACACGGCCCAGACUCCUACGGGAGGCAGCAGUGGGGAAUCUUGCGCAAUGGGCGAAAGCCUGACGCAGCCAUGCCGCGUGAAUGAUGAGGGUCUUAGGAUUGUAAAAUUCUUUCAGCGGGGACGAUAAUGACGGUACCCGCAGAAGAAGCUCCGGCUAACUUCGUG